GUACUGCUGAAGAGUCCCAUACAAGGAUGAAACGGUCGUUCAGUAU
rnacentral:hammerhead_ribozyme from 1 species